AGCAGCCAUCAUUUAAAGAAAGCGUAAUAGCUCACUGGUCGAGUCGGCCUGCGCGGAAGAUGUAACGGGGCUAAACCAUGCACCGAAGCUGCGGCAGCGAACGUAUCACUUAAAGCGAUUCAGCGGAUGACGAUUGACGGAGCGAAGCGACGUCAAAGCGUAUACAAAGUCGAGUCGGUUUAAGGAUACGUUCGUUGGGUAGGGGAGCGUUCUGUAAGCCUGCGAAGGUGGCCUGUGAGGGUUGCUGGAGGUAUCAGAAGUGCGAAUGCUGACAUAAGUAACGAUAAAGCGGGUGAAAAGCCCGCUCGCCGGAAGACCAAGGGUUCCUGUCCAACGUUAAUCGGGGCAGGGUGAGUCGACCCCUAAGGCGAGGCCGAAAGGCGUAGUCGAUGGGAAACGGGUUAAUAUUCCCGUACUUGGUGUUACUGCGAAGGGGGGACGGAGAAGGCUAUGUUGGCCGGGCGACGGUUGUCCCGGUUUAAGCGUGUAGGUGUGUGUUCCAGGUAAAUCCGGUUCACUUUAACACUGAGGCGUGACGACGAGGCACUACGGUGCUGAAGCAACAAAUGCCCUGCUUCCAGGAAAAGCCUCUAAGCAUCAGGUAACAUCAAAUCGUACCCCAAACCGACACAGGUGGUCAGGUAGAGAAUACCAAGGCGCUUGAGAGAACUCGGGUGAAGGAACUAGGCAAAAUGGUGCCGUAACUUCGGGAGAAGGCACGCUGACA
rnacentral:rRNA from 1 species